rnacentral:misc_RNA from 1 species
UGGGCAAGAACUGGUGGUAUGUAUGUAUGGCCUGAUAUUUUCUUUUCAAAUUUUAUUAUAAUUUUCCAGGCUUCUUAUUUUUAAUAUUCCAUUGUUAUGCAAUUUAUUUUGAGGUAGAUGGUGAUAAGUUCCAAAUUAGAUGCAUUUGGUUAUUGAAGUUUGUUGUUAUUUGAUGAAGAUUCAGAUGAUGAGAUAAACUUCUCAACAAAAUCUUCAGUUGAUUGUUCUUUCUUUUCCUUUCUCAGUUCUUUCCCCCUUCCUUUUCGAAAGAGGUUUUAAAUCUUCAAAUCUUUACCAUGAAUGUGUUAACUUGUUGUUUGAUUUUGAUGGAAUAUGUGAGGUACAAAUGUAGAAACGAUUAUUCGACUUAUCAAGUAAUAGAAUCAUUUCUGUUCUCCUGUGUCUCUUGACCAUUUUAAGAUUUUGAUUAUCCA